AAUGAUAAUGAUGACGACAACGAUGAUGAUGACAAUGAUGAUGAUGACAAUAAGGAUGAUGACGACGAUGAUGAUGAUUAUGACAAUGAUAAUGAUGACGACAACGAUGAUGAUGAUGACGACAAUGAUGAUGAUGACAAUGAUGAUGACGAAGAUGACGACGACAACGAUGAUGAUGACGAUAAUCAUGAUGAUGCUUUCUCACUGUUCCUCAGCCAUGUAUGAGCACAAGAUCUUUGUUCAAGGCAUCAUCUGGGACAUCAACAGCUUCGAUCAGUGGGGGGUGGAGCUGGGGAAGCAGCUGGCCAAGGUGAUCGAGCCGGAGCUCACGACGGCCCAGCCGGCCACGGGUCACGACUCUUCCACCAACGGCCUCAUCAACUUCAUCAAGGCCCAUCGCAAAUGAGCGGCUCCCAGCGGCUCUGCGGGAGUUGUGGGGGGGGUGGGGGGGGGUUGUGGGGGUGUUCGGAGAUGUCGGGGGCCCUCGGCAGCUCCAUAGGACCCCUGUGCAAUGAUCUCAGAAUUGCUGCUUCAUCUGGGAGCUCCUCACAUCAAAUCUAACGCCUCUAGUGUGUGUCGUUUAUUUUUUUCGACUGGCGCACAUCUGAGCCGUGCCGAGCCAGCCCUCGGCACGGUCCAGGUUGCUCUUUUUCACUGCGGGAACCGAGCCGCGGAGAGUCACGCGCGCGACGACGCCAGCACCGUACCGUGCUGGCCUCGAGCUGGCUUGGCUCAGAUGUGCCAGUGGAAAACCACUCGUUCCGUGCUUGCCUCGAGCUGGCUUGGCUCAGAUGUGCCAGUGGAAAACCACCCGUACCGUGCUGGCCUCGAGCUGGCUUGGCUCAGAUGUGCCAGUGGAAAACCACCCGUACCGUGCUUGCCUCGAGCUGGCUUGGCUCAGAUGUGCCAGUGGAAAACCACUCGUUCCGUGCUUGCCUCGAGCUGGCUUGGCUCAGAUGUGCCAGUGGAAAACCACCCGUACCGUGCUUGCCUCAAGUUGGCUUGGCUCAGAUGUGCCAGUGGAAAACCACCCGUACCGUGCUUGCCUCGAGCUGGCUUGGCUCAGAUGUGCCAGUGGAAAACCACCCGUACCGUGCUUGCCUCGAGCUGGCUUGGCUCAGAUGUGCCAGUGGAAAACCACCCGUACCGUGCUUGCCUCAAGUUGGCUUGGCUCAGAUGUGUCAGUGGAAAACCACCCGUACCGUCGUGGCCUCGAGCUGGCGCGGCUCAGAUGUGCCAGUGUAAAACCACCCGUACCGUGCUGGCCUCAUGUUGGCUCGGCUCAGAUGUGCCAGUGAAAAACCACCCGAAACUCGGUCGGAACGGGCAACUGGACAUACGACGGACAGGUUUUGUUCGUAUCUCUGAAAGUUCCUAAGUCGAAUGUUCGUAAGUACAAGGAGUAUCUGUAUCUUCAGCGUGGCCUAUUACCUUGCGAACGCACCGCCCCCAAGCGAUGACGAAUCACCCGUUGACUUCAACGAUUCGUCGUUUCGCACAGGUACCCUGCGCGGCUAAAUAAAUAAACAAUUCAGGCGACCGCA